AGGAAUCUGUGUUUUUAAGAAGCCUCCCAGGUGAUUCUUUUACUGGGGCAGAUGGGAAACUCAAGAUUAAUGCAGUGAUAGACGGUGGGUGGGAAAGAAAAGUAAAGAGAUGCGAGCAGGUUCCAGAGGCCAGGGGCUGCUCACUGGAAGCAUCUGGGGGAGACUGAAAGAAAUACUGAUGGCACAGACACUACUCCAGCAGAGCCAUCUUGGCACUGUAAAGGGAGCUGGAAGAAAGAUGGAAACAAUGAUGACACUGUCAAGUUGAAGAAUUAACCAACCCUGAAGCGCCUACCUCUGGACUUGUUAUACAAAACAGUGAAUUUUUCUUAUUGCUUAAGCUAUUUUGAGUAGGAUUUUCUGUUAUUGUACUUGAAAACACCCCACUGAUUGAUAUUUCUGGAGCAUGUAUGUUCAGGAUAU
rnacentral:lncRNA from 1 species